rnacentral:rRNA from 1 species
AUACGGGGGGUGCAAGCGUUGUCCGGAAUUACUGGGCGUAAAGGGCGUGUAGGCGGCCUGGUCAGUCAGAUGUGAAAGCCCACGGCUUAACCGUGGAACUGCAUUUGAAACUGCCAGGCUUGAGUGUGAGAUGGGGUAGUGGAAUUCCCAGUGUAGCGGUGAAAUGCGUAGAUAUUGGGAAGAACACCAGUAGCGAAGGCGGCUACCUGGCUCACAACUGACGCUAAUGCGCGAAAGCGCGGGGAGCAAACAGGAUUAGAAACCCGGGUAGUCC